rnacentral:rRNA from 1 species
GACGAACGCUGGCGGCGUGCUUAACACAUGCAAGUCGAACGGAAAGGCUCUGCUUUUGUGUGGUGCUCGAGUGGCGAACGGUUGAGUAAGACGUGAGUAACCUGACCUUAACUUUGGGAUAACUUCAGGUAACUGUGGCUAAUGCCGGCUAGGAUCUCCUGCUGCUUGUUUUGUCUUGGAAAUUUUCGGAGGGUGGGGAUGUACUCGCGGCUGAUCAGCUUGUUGGUGGGGUAGUGGCUUAGCAAGGUUUUGACGGGUAGCCGGCCUGAGAGGGUGACCGGACACAGUGGGACUGAGAUACGGCCCAGACUCAUACGGGAGGCAGCGGUGAGGAAUAUAGCACAAUAGGCGGAAGCAGGAUGCAAGAACGCCGCGUGGGGGAUGACGGCCUUCGGGUUGUAAAGCGCUUUCGCCUGUGACGAAGAGUGAGUGACGGUAAUAUAUAAAAAAGCACCGGCUAACUACGUG